rnacentral:rRNA from 1 species
UUCCGGUUGAUCCUGCCGGACCUGACUGCUAUCGGAUUGAUACUAAGCCAUGCGAGUCAUUGUAGCAAUACAAGGCAGACGGCUCAGUAACGCGUAGUCAACCUACCCUAUGGACGGGAAUAACCUCGGGAAACUGAGAAUAAUGCCCGAUAGAACAUUAUGCCUGGAAUGGUUUAUGUUCCAAAUGAUUUAUCGCUGUAGGAUGGGACUGCGGCCUAUCAGUUUGUUGGUGAGGUAAUGGCCCACCAAGACUAUUACAGGUACGGGCUCUGAGAGGAGUAGCCCGGAGAUGGGUACUGAGACACGGACCCAGGCCCUAUGGGGCGCASAGGCGAGAAAACUUUGCAAUGUGCGAAAGCASRACAAGGUUAAUCCGAGUGGUUUCUGCUAAAGGAACCUUUUKUCAGUCCUAGAAACACUGAUGAAUAAGGGGUGGGCAAGUUCUGGUGUCAGCCGCCGCGGUAAAACCAGCACCUCAAGUGGUCAGGAUGAUUAUUGGGCCUAAAGCAUCCGUAGCCGGGCUCUAUAAGUUCUCGGUUAAAUCUGUACGCUCAACGUACAGGCUGCCGGGAAUACUGCAGAGCUAGGGAGUGGGAGAGGUAGACGGUACUCGGUAGGAAGGGGUAAAAUCCUUUGAUCUAUUGAUGACCACCUGUGGCGAAGGCGGUCUACCAGAACACGUCCGACGGUGAGGGAUGAAAGCUGGGGGAGCAAACCGGAUUAGAUACCCGGGUAGUCCCAGCUGUAAACGAUGCAGACUCGGUGAUGCCCUGGCUUGUGGCCAGUGCAGUGCCGCAGGGAAGCCGUUAAGUUUGCCGCCUGGGAAGUACGUACGCAAGUAUGAAACUUAAAGGAAUUGGCGG